rnacentral:rRNA from 1 species
UACGUAGGGGACGAGCGUUGUCCGGAAUUACUGGGCGUAAAGGGCGCGCAGGCGGUAUAUCAAGUCAGCUGUCAAAGACUGGGGCUCAACCUUGGUAUGCGGUUGAAACUGAUAUGCUGGAGUGCUGUAGAGGCAAGUGGAAUUCCCAGUGUAGCGGUGAAAUGCGUAGAUAUUGGGAAGAACACCGGUGGCGAAGGCGACUUGCUGGGCAGCAACUGACGCUGAGGCGCGAAAGCCAGGGGAGCAAACGGGAUUAGAUA